rnacentral:rRNA from 1 species
GAUCAACGCUGGCGGCGUGCAUGAGACAUGCAAGUCGAACGGAUGACUCGGGCUUGCUCGAGUCGUUAGUGGCGGACGGCUGAGUAACGCGUGGGUGACCUGCCCCGAAGUGGGGAAUAACUGCCCGAAAGGGUGGCUAAUACCGCAUGUGGUGGUGCGUUCAAUUGCACCAGUAAAGCCGCAAGGCGCUUCGGGAGGGGCCUGCGUCCGAUUAGCUCGUUGGUGGGGAACGGCUCACCAAGGCGACGAUCGGUAGGUGGUCUGAGAGGACGAUCACCCAGACUGGGACUGAGACACGGCCCAGACUCCUACGGGAGGCAGCAGUCGGGAAUUUUGCUCAAUGGGGGGAAACCCUGAAGCAGCAACGCCGCGUGAGGGAUGAAGGCCUU